rnacentral:misc_RNA from 1 species
GAUGAAGAACGUAGCGAAAUGCGAUAAGUAAUGUGAAUUGCAGAAUUCAGUGAAUCAUCGAAUCUUUGAACGCACAUUGCGCCCCCUGGUAUUCCGGGGGGCAUGCCUGUUCGAGCGUCAUUUCACCACUCAAGCCUCGCUUGGUAUUGGGCAACGCGGUCCGCCGCGUGCCUCAAAUCGUCCGGCUGGGUCUUCUGUCCCCUAAGCGUUGUGGAAACUAUUCGCUAAAGGGUGUUCGGGAGGCUACGCCGUAAAACAACCCCAUUUCUAAGGUUGACCCCGGAUCAGGUAGGGAUACUCGCUGAACUUAAGCAUAUCAAUAAGCGGAGGA